rnacentral:rRNA from 1 species
GACGAACGCUGGCGGCGUGCUUAACACAUGCAAGUCGAACGGUAAGGCCCUUCGGGGUACACGAGUGGCGAACGGGUGAGUAACACGUGGGUGAUCUGCCCUGCACUUCGGGAUAAGCCUGGGAAACUGGGUCUAAUACCGGAUAGGACUCCGGACUGCAUGGUCUGGGGUGGAAAGCUUUUGCGGUGUGGGAUGGGCCCGCGGCCUAUCAGCUUGUUGGUGGGGUGAUGGCCUACCAAGGCGACGACGGGUAGCCGGCCUGAGAGGGUGACCGGCCACACUGGGACUGAGAUACGGCCCAGACUCCUACGGGAGGCAGCAGUGGGGAAUAUUGCACGAUGGGCGCAAGCCUGAUGCAGCGACGCCGCGUGAGGGAUGACGGCCUUCGGGUUGUAAACCUCUUUCAGCAUCGACGAAGCGAAAGUGACGGUAGGUGCAGAGGAAGGACCGGCCAACUACGUGCCAGCCGCCGCAGUAA